rnacentral:sRNA from 1 species
UGAUACAUUUAUAUAAUUAUUAACUUAUGAUAUUGAUGGGACCAUAUAUUUACAUAGAACUUUCAAAAAAAUUAUUAUCUUAUUGAUUUAUCGAUUUGUGUCACUUUUUACAUUAGUCCUAACUCGUGACUGGAAAAAUUUAUUAAUUUUUUGAGGUUCUACUGUAUAUAAUACUUAAACUGAUUAAUGAGAUAUAUCCAUUUAAUAA